AGUGAACGCUGGCGGUAGGCCUAACACAUGCAAGUCGAACGGCAGCACAGGAGAGCUUGCUCUCUGGGUGGCGAGUGGCGGACGGGUGAGGAAUACAUCGGAAUCUACUUUUUCGUGGGGGAUAACGUAGGGAAACUUACGCUAAUACCGCAUACGACCUACGGGUGAAAGCCGGGGACCUUCGGGCCUUGCGCGAUUGACUGAGCCGAUGUCGGAUUAGCUAGUUGGCGGGGUAAAGGCCCACCAAGGCGACGAUCCGUAGCUAGUCUGAGAGGGUGAGCGGCCAAACUGGAACGGAGACAGGGUCCAGACUCCUACGGGGGGCAGCAGUGGGGAAUAUUGGACAAUGGGCUCAAGCCUGAUCCAGCCAUACUGCGUGGGUGAAGAAGGCCUUCGGGUUGUAAAGCCCUUUUGUUGGGAAAGAAAUCCAGCUGGCUAAUACCCGGUUGGGAUGACGGUACCCAAAGAAUAAGCACCGGCUAACUUCGUGCCAGCCGCCGCCGUAA
rnacentral:rRNA from 1 species